rnacentral:tRNA from 1 species
GGCGGUGUAGCUCAGUGGCAAGAGCACGCGGUUCAUACCCGCGUUGUCCAGGGUUCAAAUCCCUGCGCCGCUACCA